UCGGGAAUUUUGGGCAAUGGGCGCAAGCCUGAUCCAGCCAUGCCGCGUGCGGGAAGAAGGCCUUCGGGUUGUAAACCGCUUUUGUCAGGGAAGAAACGCUCUGGGCUAAUACCCUGGGGUAAUGACGGUACCUGAAGAAUAAGCACCGGCUAACUACGUGCCAGCAGCCGCGGUAAUACGUAGGGUGCAAGCGUUAAUCGGAAUUACUGGGCGUAAAGCGUGCGCAGGCGGUUAUGCAAGACAGAUGUGAAAUCCCCGGGCUCAACCUGGGAACUGCAUUUGUGACUGCAUAGCUAGAGUACGGUAGAGGGGGAUGGAAUUCCGCGUGUAGCAGUGAAAUGCGUAGAUAUGCGGAGGAACACCGAUGGCGAAGGCAAUCCCCUGGACCUGUACUGACGCUCAUGCACGAAAGCGUGGGGAGCAAACAGGAUUAGAUACCCUUGUAGUCCCUGAGCGGGCUGGCAAGGCGCAU
rnacentral:rRNA from 1 species